GCAACAUUAUUUUGAGUAGAUUUUAACCGUUCCCAUAUCAACUAUGGGCAAACGGCAUUAACUAUGAUACUGGCUGCUUUCUGCUUGUUCCUCCAAACCCAUGCUCCAGUGUUUGGCCCUCUAGAAAAUGAGCUGCAUGGAAGUAAUCAGCAGGCUCCAUUUGUGUCCGGAAUUGGUGGAUUCUUGGUCUCACUGACUUUAAGAAUGAAGCCGUGGACCCUCGCGUUGAGUGUUACAGUUCUUAAAGGCGGCAUGUCCGGAGUUUGCUCCUUCUGAUGUUCGGAUGUGUUCAGAGUCUCUUCCUUCCGGUGGGGUUCGUGGUCUCGCUGGCUCAGGAGUGAAGCCGCGGACCUUCCCGGUGAGUGUUACAACUCUUAAGGCGACGCGUCUGGAGUUGUUCCUCCCGAUGGCUUCGUGGUCUCCCUGGCUUCAGGAGUGAAGCUGCAGACCUUCACGUGUAGAUGAUGGAAGAUUGUAGGAAUCUGAGAACUGAAGCAAGAAUAGCUGCCAGGACAAAAGCUGGAUGAUGGUGGCGUGGACCAAAGAUGGAACCGUCUAGUUGCAGGAAAGCAAGAUGUCAGGGCUCCCACUGAUUCUACAUUAUGGGUGUGAAAGAAGAGUCAUCAUUCCUUCAAUCUAAAAGGAUUACAUCAAUUCAGUAUUGAACAACAAGUUUCAUAAUGCAGUUCCAGAAAAUGGAGUGACUGCCAAUUAAAAAUGUGGGAAGAGAAAGUCUCCAUCUCCCUGAAGGAACAUACAGAGUCCUUUUAAGAUAAGUACAUUUAAAGAAAAUUGUUAUGCACAACACUAACAUCAUUGUAGGUUUUUGGCUCUCUUUCAUAUGACUAUGUCUCUGCAGAUGCCUUUAGUACCACUGGGGAGUCUAUACUGGAAAUGCAUUCUUCGCCACUUGGCAGAGUAUUCACAGUAAAUGAAUAUCAGAGCUAGGAUUUUGUUGUUGGUUUUUUAUCUGCGGCUGGCUAAAAAGACAGACUUUUACCUACAGGUUGGAUUAUACUAAACAAAAAGAAGGAUAAGCAGAUUUUCUUUUAAGGCAAGACCAAAGGAAGGAAGGAAGACCAAAUCAAAUUUUCAUUUUGAAACAAUGAACAACAGCAGACAAGUUGGUUAGCAGGGACACUACGUUUAAAUAUUUGUGUGUGUUUGCAUGUGGGGGGGUCUGUUUAUCUCAAAAUAGGAGCAGAAUGGCAGACUGAACAUGUGUUCUUUCCCACCCCAAUUACUCUGAUAUGAUCAAAUAAAUAAAUACAUUCAUAACGCACUAGAAAACAAGAAAGGGUGGUGUCAACAUCAAAGAUGUUGAGAUAUUUAUAAAAGAUAUAGAGCAGACAGGAUUGAAUUCUUCAAAAAAAGAAGACCAGAAAAAAAAACACAUAGGAGAGAGAGAGAGUGCAGAGAUGAGAGUGCUUAUGGGAACUUCAGGCAGCCUUAGGAGGUUAAGGAACAAUUGUCACAGUGAUUAACUGGGGCAGUGCAUUUAGAGGGACUAGGCUGGUCAGCCAGCCCCCCUUCCUCCUGACUAAGCUGAGCAAAAGAGAGCAGCAAUUGCCGUCAGGCUAAAACAGAUGAGCAUGGGCUCUGAGACCAAAGAGAUGGGACAAUUCAUUGUCACAGGUAGCUAGUGAUACCCUUGAGACCAGUUGAAACCUCCUCCUAGCAGAAUGCCCUGUCCUGUCCCCACGAUCACUGCAGAUAAGCUCCUGUAAUCCGAGUCAGUUUCUACUAAAAUGUGAACAAGUUAUUCAAAUAUGUACGCCAACAAAACUAAGAUUCCAAGAUAAAGAAAAAUGUGGGAUAUAAGAAAGCAUGAUAAGAAAAAAUAAUAAAAUAUAUUGUUAAGUUUAAAUCUUUUUUCUUUAAUUUCAGCUUUUAUUUUAGAUAUGAGGACGGGAGCUACAUGUGUAGGAUGUGUACACAUAAAUGUGUACAUUAUAUGUGUACAUAUAAAUGCCGAUGAACUCUAACUAUAGUAAAAAACUAAUUAUAGUUGGAGGCGUAUUUUAAGAAUUUAAAAGUAAAACUUCUGGUUAAACUUAAUGGAUUAAGUCUACAUAUUUACUUUAUUUUAUUUUAGAGUGCUACUAAAAACUUAAAAGUAAACAGGCCAGGCAUGGUGGCUCACGCCUGUAAUCCCAGCACUUUGGGAGGCCAAGUUGGGCGGAUCACGAGGUCAGGAGAUCGAGACCAUCCUGGCUAACACAGUGAAACCCCGUCUCUACUAAAAAUACAAAAAAUUAGCCAGGCAUGGUGGUGGGUGCCUGUAGUCCCAGCUACUCGAGAGACUGAGGCAGGAGAAUGGUAUGAACCCGGGAGGCGGAGCUUGCAGUGAGCUGGGAUUGUACCCCUGCACUCCAGCCUGGGCGACAGAGCGAGAUUCCAUCUCAAAAAAAAAAAAAAAAGUAAAUUAAACAUGUACACAGGUAUGUACACACGUACAAAGAGACAUUUUAAACCAAUAAAAGCUAAAAGAAUGGGAAAGGAAAUGACAGCAAAUGAAGUGUGCUAAAAAGAAAAGAAAAGAAAAAAGAAAUGAAAGAAUAAAGAAAG